GCUGAGCGAAACCGGCCCCAUGGGCAGAUGCUGGGGGAGGAGGCCCAGGAGGCCCUGCAGGCUUCAUUGCCCAUGCCAUUCGCCACUGCUACCAGCCUGUGGGAGGAGGAGGGAGCCCAUCGGACUUCUACCUGUGCUCUCUGCUGGCCAGCGGCACCGCAGCCCUGGCCUGUGUCUUCCUGGGGGUCACCGUGGACCGAUUUGGCCGCCGGGGCAUCCUUCUUCUCUCCAUGACCCUUACCGGCAUUGCUUCCCUGGUCCUGCUGGGCCUGUGGGAUUGUGAGCAUCCUAUCUUCCCCACAGUGUGGGCUCAACAAGGGAACCCCAACAGAGAUCUGAACGAGGCUGCCAUCACCACUUUCUCUGUCCUUGGGCUCUUCUCCUCCC
rnacentral:lncRNA from 1 species